rnacentral:rRNA from 1 species
AGUGAACGCUGGCGGUAGGCCUAACACAUGCAAGUCGAACGGCAGCACAGUAAGAGCUUGCUCUUACGGGUGGCGAGUGGCGGACGGGUGAGGAAUACAUCGGAAUCUACUUUUUCGUGGGGGAUAACGUAGGGAAACUUACGCUAAUACCGCAUACGACCUACGGGUGAAAGCAGGGGAUCUUCGGACCUUGCUCGAUUGAAUGAGCCGAUGUCGGAUUAGCUAGUUGGCGGGGUAAAGGCCCACCAAGGCGACGAUCCGUAGCUGGUCUGAGAGGAUGAUCAGCCACACUGGAACUGAGACACGGUCCAGACUCCUACGGGAGGCAGCAGUGGGGAAUAUUGGACAAUGGGCACAAGCCUGAUCCAGCCAUACCGCGUGGGUGAAGAAGGCCUUCGGGUUGUAAAGCCCUUUUGUUGGGAAAGAAAAGCAGCAGGUUAAUACCCCGCUGUUCUGACGGUACCCAAAGAAUAAGCACCGGCUAACUUCGUG